GGUUAGGGAAUAUAUCGUGAGAAUGCCUGGGGAAGGAACAUUCCAGGGAAGACGGAACUUCCAGUGAAAUGUCUUUGACACAGAAAUAUACCUAAUAUGGUAGAAGAAAAGCCACUGAGACCUGUGUGGUGAAAGGAGACUAUUGUGUGCCCAGUAUUAAAAGAGAUUCCAGAAAUAUAAAUAUAAUAAUAUCAAGUGAUUGAUGGUAAUGAUGAUGAUGAUGAUGAUGAUGAUGAUGGGGAGUUAACAACAGUCAACCUCUAGUUUUUCUGAAGGACAGCAGCAACACUGGUGAGGCCAGUUACAGAAAUGGUUACUCACACUGGAAACCUGAAUGAUAGACAACUUGAUUUCUGUUCUCUCUACCCCUCUCCGUGAAACCAUUCACUAAACUAUGAUAUUACCUACUACAAUUUUUUUUUCACAUUGAUUCUUUGUUCUUCAAACACUGAUCUAAGUGAUCAUUAUUAUGUGACUUCUAGUGUCCUUCAACAAUCCCCUGAGAUCUGAUACCUGAAUUUCUCUAACCUACAAUUUCUUCACCCUGCUGUCACUAAAGAUAUUUUGUGAAAGCAGGUUUUAUGACAGGUUCUUGCUAAAAAGCCUGGAUGGUGUCCAGUUGCCACAGAACAAAGAAAAUUUGUUUCAUCACUUGAAUUAAUUCAAUUUUAUUUUUUGUAGCUGAUCCUGGAGACAAGUUCAAAAAGAUGGGAAAGUAGAGUAGAAAGUUAUCCAUGAAAAUGUGAAAAUAUACAUCCAAGUGAAGUCUUAUCAUACUAGAAGCAUUGUAGAAUUUUUUUGUCACCUCCAAACAGUCACAAUAGGAGUAGAAAACAGUAAGAUGGUGAGAGAGUAAAAGAAAUGAUGUGUACAGAGGAAACAAUAAAGUAUUGACAAGCCAAUAAUAGUGAAGGAGAGAAAAAUGAGGUGACCCAAAGGCCAACUCACAUCAUCAAGUUUGAGGACAGAACAGCAAAAGUGAAAGACUCCAGAGACAGAAGAGUCAUUGACUAGAGAGAACAAAAUGAAUGAUUCUAAGAACAUUUGAGUCAUCAUAAGACCAAGCCAAAAUAAGACAGGCAUUGACAGAGAGAUCAAGCAAAAGAAUGGGAGGCUGGUAAGGAUUUGAGGCACAAUAUUUUUAACCGUAUGGGUAUCUCUUUGCUUAUCAUCUUCCAAGCUAGUGAUGCCAAAGAUAUUGAGGGGCAGGUGAGUGGAGGAUGGAUAUAAAUAGUCAUUACCAUACAUUUCUGUCCAAAUAAUGAGAAAAUGCAAGAGUCACAGAAAGUUAUAUUUCAUAUUAAUAAGAGCAAUACACUUACUAUGAUCAUGACUAAAACAGAUUUCAUACACACACACACACACACACACACACACACACAUAUAUCCUUAUAUAUUUAUAUAAUUUUUCUACCAACAAAUGUAGUUGAUAAUGCUGGCAAUAUAAGAAAACCACAUAGAGAGCCACAAAUAAACCUGUGCAUAUAUGAUCAACUGAUCUUUGACAAGAGUGCUAAGAACACACAAUGGGGAAUGGAUAGUCUCUUCCACAAAAGGUAUGGGAUAAACUACUGAAUAUAAAAAAAAAAUACAAGUGGAUUCCUAUCUUACACAAAACUCAACUCUAAAUGGAUUAGAGUCUUAACAAUGUAAGAUCUGCAACUGUAAAACUCCUAGAAGAAAACAAAAGGAACACUUUUCUUGACAUAGGUGUUGGCAAUGACUUCUUGGUUCUGACAUCAAAAGCUCAGGCAACAAAAGCAAAACUGACAGGUGGGACUAUGUCAAACUAAAAAAAAAAAAAAAUUUCACAGCAAAGGAAACAACAGAACGAAAAGGAAACCUACAAUAUGGGAGAAAAUA